GUAUGAACGCUAGCUACAGGCUUAACACAUGCAAGUCGAGGGGCAGCAUGGUCUUAGCUUGCUAAGGCCGAUGGCGACCGGCGCACGGGUGAGUAACACGUAUCCAACCUGCCGUCUACUCUUGGACAGCCUUCUGAAAGGAAGAUUAAUACAAGAUGGCAUCAUGAGUCCGCAUGUUCACAUGAUUAAAGGUAUUCCGGUAGACGAUGGGGAUGCGUUCCAUUAGAUAGUAGGCGGGGUAACGGCCCACCUAGUCUUCGAUGGAUAGGGGUUCUGAGAGGAAGGUCCCCCACAUUGGAACUGAGACACGGUCCAAGCUCCUACGGGAGGCAGCAGUGAGGAAUAUUGGUCAAUGGGCGAGAGCCUGAACCAGCCGAGUAGCGUGAAGGAUGACUGCCCUAUGGGUUGUAAACUUCUUUUAUAAAGGAAUAAAGUCGGGUAUGGAUACCCGUUUGCAUGUACUUUAUGAAUAAGGAUCGGCUAACUCCGUGCCAGCAGCCGCGGUAAUACGGAGGAUCCGAGCGUUAUCCGGAUUUAUUGGGUUUAAAGGGAGCGUAGAUGGAUGUUUAAGUCAGUUGUGAAAGUUUGCGGCUCAACCGUAAAAUUGCAGUUGAUACUGGAUAUCUUGAGUGCAGUUGAGGCAGGCGGAAUUCGUGGUGUAGCGGUGAAAUGCUUAGAUAUCACGAAGAACUCCGAUUGCGAAGGCAGCCUGCUAAGCUGCAACUGACAUUGAGGCUCGAAAGUGUGGGUAUCAAACAGGAUUAGAUACCCUGGUAGUCCACACGGUAAACGAUGAAUACUCGCUGUUUGCGAUAUACUGCAAGCGGCCAAGCGAAAGCGUUAAGUAUUCCACCUGGGGAGUACGCCGGCAACGGUGAAACUCAAAGGAAUUGACGGGGGCCCGCACAAGCGGAGGAACAUGUGGUUUAAUUCGAUGAUACGCGAGGAACCUUACCCGGGCUUAAAUUGCAGAUGAAUUACGGUGAAAGCCGUAAGCCGCAAGGCAUCUGUGAAGGUGCUGCAUGGUUGUCGUCAGCUCGUGCCGUGAGGUGUCGGCUUAAGUGCCAUAACGAGCGCAACCCUUGUUGUCAGUUACUAACAGGUUCCGCUGAGGACUCUGACAAGACUGCCAUCGUAAGAUGUGAGGAAGGUGGGGAUGACGUCAAAUCAGCACGGCCCUUACGUCCGGGGCUACACACGUGUUACAAUGGGGGGUACAGAGGGCCGCUACCACGCGAGUGGAUGCCAAUCCCCAAAACCUCUCUCAGUUCGGACUGGAGUCUGCAACCCGACUCCACGAAGCUGGAUUCGCUAGUAAUCGCGCAUCAGCCACGGCGCGGUGAAUACGUUCCCGGGCCUUGUACACACCGCCCGUCAAGCCAUGGGAGCCGGGGGUACCUGAAGUGCGUAACCGCGAGGAGCGCCCUAGGG
rnacentral:rRNA from 1 species